rnacentral:rRNA from 1 species
AACGAACGCUGGCGGCAGGCUUAACACAUGCAAGUCGAACGGGUGUAGCAAUACAUCAGUGGCAGACGGGUGAGUAACACGUGGGAACCUUCCUAGGGGUACGGAACAACUCAGGGAAACUUGAGCUAAUACCGUAUACGUCCGUGAGGAGAAAGAUUUAUCGCCCUUAGACGGGCCCGCGUCGGAUUAGCUAGUUGGUGGGGUAACGGCCUACCAAGGCGACGAUCCGUAGCUGAUCUUAGAGGAUGAUCAGCCACACUGGGACUGAGACACGGCCCAGACUCCUACGGGAGGCAGCAGUGGGAAAUCUUGGACAAUGGGCGCAAGCCUGAUCCAGCCAUGCCGCGUGAGUGAAGAAGGUCUUCGGAUUGUAAAGCUCUUUUGCCAGGGACGAUAAUGACGGUACCUGGAGAAUAAGCCCCGGCAAACUUCGUGCCAGCAGCCGCCGUAAAAC